AUGCAGCUGCCGCUCACCAGGACAUCAGUCUCGGCGAUGAAUUCCUUGCCGCGGAAUGCCGCCCUAAUCUCUCCUUGUUGCUUCCCCACCGGCAUGAGGAGGAACUUUCAGAGCAUUCGUGACACCAUCGAUGGUAUCCUGGAGGAGAUCAUCGACCACAGAGAGCAAAUCCUCAAGAGUGGCCGGUCAACCGCGUCUAAGAAGAACUUGGUGAAAGAUCUCCUCGGCCUCCAUGGGAAUGAAGACUUUGCCUUCCCCAUCACCUGCUCACCUGUCAAAGCAGUUAUCUUCUACUACUACUAUUGCUGCUACUGCUGCUGCUACUACUGCUGCUGCUGCUGCUACUGCUACUACUGA
rnacentral:rRNA from 1 species